rnacentral:misc_RNA from 1 species
GAUGAAGAACGUAGCGAAAUGCGAUAAGUAAUGUGAAUUGCAGAAUUCAGUGAAUCAUCGAAUCUUUGAACGCACAUUGCGCCCGCCAGAAUACUGGCGGGCAUGCCUGUUCGAGCGUCAUUACAACCCUCAGGCCCCCGGGCCUGGCGUUGGGGAUCGGCGGAGCCCCCCGUGGGCACACGCCGUCCCCCAAAUGCAGUGGCGGUCCCGCCGCAGCUUCCAUCGCGUAGUAGCUAACACCUCGCGACUGGAGAGCGGCGCGGCCACGCCGUAAAACACCCAACUCUUCUGAAGUUGACCUCGAAUCAGGUAGGAAUACCCGCUGAACUUAAGCAUAUCAAUAAGCGGAGGA